CAGAGUUCGUGCCCUUGUGGGUAGACCUCCUCACCGUGUGUAUUCUACUCUUGUUGCUUUGGUAGGCCGCGUAGCCACCGGGUCCGGCCUGGUGAGCGCCUACCAGAGGACCCAAUAACUCUAUAUUGUAUUUGUCGUCCGAUCACUAUAUAAUAGUUA
rnacentral:misc_RNA from 1 species